GGGAGCCAUUCUCUCCACUUUCCCUCUUUCCCCUCCUCUCUUCCCCAUUAUCGACACGAACCAGAUCCAUCGGAGGCGCCCUCCGAUCCACCCGCCCCGGCCAGGUCGCACGGCGCUGCCCUCCCCAUCUGCAGUUUGGGGCUUCCGGCUUCACCCGUGACCUUCUCCUCCGCGCCCCAGCCCGCUCAAACAUCGCCACCCUCCUCACCGGUGGAAUGGGAGCCGCCGGCCUCACCCCCACGACGUCCUCUGCGCCCUUCCCUGGUUUCCUCCCGCGGGUUUUUCUGCAUCCACGAGAACGCCUAUGCCUACAAUCGCGAGAACGCCGCCGGCCCUCCUCAAGUAUAUCAAUAUAUGUGGAUGGAGGUUCAUGUGACGAAUUAGUGGCUUCCUCACGUCAGUUUCAAUGCCUGAUUUUUUCCAUACGACGUCCCGACUGUCUUCGACAACUUCAGCGCCAACGUUGUUGUCCACGGGAACACCAUCAACCUGGCCUUGUGGGAUACAACAGGACAAGAGGACUACAACAAGCUAUGCCCAAGUUUAUGUUUCAUGUAGGUACUCGAGCAGAUUGUAUGAAUUCCGUUACAGGAUUACGUCAGUUAUAGGAAUUAUGCAGAGGUAGAGUAAGAAUCCAA